rnacentral:lncRNA from 1 species
CAAUUCUAUUGGAAGGUCAAUCUUAAAUGCUGUAUAGGAGGAUCUCAUUGAGAAGAUAUCAUUUGAGCAAAGAUGUAAAGCAAGGGAGGGAAUGAGUCAGUGGCUACAUAGCGAGAGUGUCCUAGGCAGAGGAAACAGCUUCUACAAAAGCCCUGAAGCAAGAGAAUGUUUGAAGUGUUCAAGAAUAAACAGGAGAUGCAGAAUGAAUGGAAUUGAGAGUGAGUGAGGCAGUCGGAUACAAGAGAGACUAAUAUGGGGCAGCACUGAAGACUGCUGACAGCAGCCACAUGAGUGAGCUCAGAGUGGACACAACAGCCCCUUCAGAGGCUGCAGGGAUGGCAGACAGCCUGACUGCAAUGUCGUGAAAGAUGCUGAGGCAGAACCAUGCAGCAAAGUCAUUCCCAGAUUCCUGACUCUCAGAAAAUGUACUGGAAUGUCCUAGGAUUGCAUCAAGGAGAUUCACCAUAUUCUUGUGAAGAG